rnacentral:rRNA from 1 species
ACGGGUGGUAAUGCCGGAUGCUCCAGUUGAUCGCAUGGUCUUCUGGGAAAGCUUUCGCGGUAUGGGAUGGGGUCGCGUCCUAUCAGCUUGACGGCGGGGUAACGGCCCACCGUGGCUUCGACGGGUAGCCGGCCUGAGAGGGCGACCGGCCACAUUGGGACUGAGAUACGGCCCAGACUCCUACGGGAGGCAGCAGUGGGGAAUAUUGCACAAUGGGCGCAAGCCUGAUGCAGCGACGCCGCGUGAGGGAUGGAGGCCUUCGGGUUGUAAACCUCUUUUAUCGGGGAGCAAGCGAGAGUGAGUUUACCCGUUGAAUAAGCACCGGCUAACUACGUGCCAGCAGCCGCGGUAAUACGUAGGGUGCAAGCGUUAUCCGGAAUUAUUGGGCGUAAAGGGCUCGUAGGCGGUUCGUCGCGUCCGGUGUGAAAGUCCAUCGCUUAACGGUGGAUCCGCGCCGGGUACGGGCGGGCUUGAGUGCGGUAGGGGAGACUGGAAUUCCCGGUGUAACGGUGGAAUGUGUAGAUAUCGA